CUUCAUUAAUUUUUAUUGUUUUGUUGUAAACGAAGAUGUCACAAUUACAGCAACAUAUCAUUGAACAUUAUCCAAAUAAAAUUUGAGAUCACCAAAAUUUAGGUCUUCUGCGGAAGUAUAUCAAAUCCAAAGGAUUAGGACCAGCAUACUUAUCACGUACUCCAACAUCAUAAUUUGCGCUGGGCAAUGACCCAUCUUUGACCUUAAUGACAAGGACAAUAUAGAGGCCUGUUACCUCGUAGCGUGUCUUGCCCUUGACCACGCUUUCAAACACCAAAUUCUUCUUCUCAUGCUUGUUA
rnacentral:lncRNA from 1 species